rnacentral:rRNA from 1 species
AGCGAACGCUGGCGGCAGGCCUAACACAUGCAAGUCGAACGAACUCUUCGGAGUUAGUGGCGGACGGGUGAGUAACACGUGGGAACGUGCCUUUUUGUUCGGAAUAACUCAGGGAAACUUGUGCUAAUACCGAAUGUGCCCUUCGGGGGAAAGAUUUAUCGCCAUUAGAGCGGCCCGCGUCUGAUUAGCUAGUUGGUGAGGUAACGGCUCACCAAGGCGACGAUCAGUAGCUGGUCUGAGAGGAUGACCAGCCACACUGGGACUGAGACACGGCCCAGACUCCUACGGGAGGCAGCAGUGGGGAAUCUUGCGCAAUGGGCGAAAGCCUGACGCAGCCAUGCCGGGUGAAUGAUGAAGGUCUUAGGAUUGGAAAAUUCUUUCACCGGGGACGAUAAUGACGGUACCCGGAGAAGAAGCCCCGGCUAACUUCGUG